rnacentral:rRNA from 1 species
CGGACGGGUGAGUAAUGUCUGGGAAACUGCCUGAUGGCGGGGGAUAACUACUGGAAACGGUAGCUAAUACCGCAUAAUGUCUACGGACCAAAGCGGGGGACCUCCGGGCCUCGCGCCAUCAGAUGAACCCAUAUGGGAUUAGCUAGUAGGUGAGGUAACGGCUUACCUAGGCGACGAUCCCUAGCUGGUCUGAGAGGAUGACCAGCCACACUGGAACUGAGACACGGUCCAG